CCGCCCGUAGCUCAGCUGGAUAGAGCGCUGCCCUCCGGAGGCAGAGGUCACAGAUUCGAAUUCUGUCGGGCGGGCCA
rnacentral:tRNA from 1 species